GGUUCGGUGGUGUAGUUGGUUAUCACGUCAGUCUAACAACGACAGUUGUUUCUAACACUGAAGGUCCCGAGUUCAAACCUCGGCUGAAUCA